rnacentral:rRNA from 1 species
UACGUAGGGGGCAAGCGUUAUCCGGAUUUACUGGGUGUAAAGGGAGCGUAGACGGCAGAGCAAGUCUGAAGUGAAAGCCCGCGGCCCAACUGCGGGACUGCUUUGGAAACUGCCCGGCUAGAGUGCUGGAGAGGUAAGCGGAAUUCUUAGUGUAGCGGUGAAAUGCGUAGAUAUUAGGAGGAACACCAGUGGCGAAGGCGGCUUACUGGACAGUAACUGACGUUGAGGCUCGAAAGCGUGGGGAGCAAACAGG